rnacentral:rRNA from 1 species
CCUACGGGGGGCUGCAGUGGGGAAUAUUGGACAAUGGGGGCAACCCUGAUCCAGCCAUGCCGCGUGUGUGAAGAAGGCCCUCGGGUUGUAAAGCACUUUCAGUGAGGAAGAACGCCUGGUGGUUAAUACCCAUCAGGAAAGACAUCACUCACAGAAGAAGCACCGGCUAACUCCGUGCCAGCAGCCGCGGUAAUACGGAGGGUGCGAGCGUUAAUCGGAAUUACUGGGCGUAAGGCGCGCGUAGGUGGCUUGAUAAGCCGGUUGUGAAAGCCCCGGGCUCAACCUGGGAACGGCAUCCGGAACUGUCAAGCUAGAGUGCAGGAGAGGAAGGUAGAAUUCCCGGUGUAGCGGUGAAAUGCGUAGAGAUCGGGAGGAAUACCAGUGGCGAAGGCGGCCUUCUGGACUGACACUGACACUGAGGUGCGAAAGCGUGGGUAGCAAACAGGAUUAGAUACCCCAGUAGUC